CACCAGGCGCGAAAACUUUACAAUGCCGGCAACGGCGAUAAGGGAACCUCGAGUGCCAGGUUACAAAUCUGGCUGUCGUGAUGCCUAAAAAGCAUUGCAUAGCAAGGGCCGGGCAAGACCGGUGCCAGCCGCCGCGGUAACACCGGCGGCUCGAGUGGUAACCGUUAUUAUUGGGUCUAAAGGGUCUGUAGCCGGCCGGGUAAGUCUCUUGGGAAAUCUGGCAGCUUAACUGUCAGGCUUUCAGGAGAUACUGCCUGGCUCGAGGCCGGGAGAGGUGAGAGGUACUUCAGGGGUAGGGGUGAAAUCUUGUAAUCCUUGAAGGACCACCAGUGGCGAAGGCGUCUCACCAGAACGGACCUGACGGCAAGGGACGAAAGCUAGGGGCACGAACCGGAUUAGAUACCCGGGUAGUCCUAGCCGUAAACGAUACUCGCUAGGUGUCGGCCACGGUGCGACCGUGGUCGGUGCCGUAGGGAAGCCGUGAAGCGAGCCACCUGGGAAGUACGGCCGCAAGGCUGAAACUUAAAGGAAUUGGCGGGGGAGCACAAGGGCGAAUCGCG
rnacentral:rRNA from 1 species